UACGUAGGGUGCAAGCGUUGUCCGGAAUUAUUGGGCGUAAAGAGCUCGUAGGCGGUCUGUCACGUCGGCUGUGAAAUCCCGAGGCUCAACCUCGGGUCUGCAGUCGAUACGGGCAAACUAGAGUAUUGCAGGGGAGACUGGAAUUCCUGGUGUAGCGGUGAAAUGCGCAGAUAUCAGGAGGAACACCGGUGGCGAAGGCGGGUCUCUGGGCAAUAACUGACGCUGCGGAGCGAAAGCGUGGGGAGCGAACAGG
rnacentral:rRNA from 1 species